AGAGUUUGAUCAUGGCUCAGGACGAACGCUGGCGGCGUGCUUAACACAUGCAAGUCGAACGGAAAGGCCCUGCUUUUGUGGGGUGCUCGAGUGGCGAACGGGUGAGUAACACGUGAGUAACCUGCCCUUGACUUUGGGAUAACUUCAGGAAACUGGGGCUAAUACCGGAUAGGAGCUCCUGCUGCAUGGUGGGGGUUGGAAAGUUUCGGCGGUUGGGGAUGGGCUCGCGGCUUAUCAGCUUGUUGGUGGGGUAGUGGCUUACCAAGGCUUUGACGGGUAGCCGGCCUGAGAGGGUGACCGGCCACAUUGGGACUGAGAUACGGCCCAGACUCCUACGGGAGGCAGCAGUGGGGAAUAUUGCACAAUGGGCGGAAGCCUGAUGCAGCAACGCCGCGUGCGGGAUGACGGCCUUCGGGUUGUAAACCGCUUUCGCCUGUGACGAAGCGUGAGUGACGGUAAU
rnacentral:rRNA from 1 species